rnacentral:rRNA from 1 species
AGAGUUUGAUCAUGGCUCAGAUUGAACGCUGGCGGAAUGCUUUACACAUGCAAGUCGAACGGCAGCACGGGAGCUUGCUCCUGGUGGCGAGUGGCGAACGGGUGAGUAAUGCGUCGGAACGUACCGAGUAAUGGGGGAUAACGCAGCGAAAGCUGUGCUAAUACCGCAUACGCCCUGAGGGGGAAAGUGGGGGACCGCAAGGCCUCACGUUAUUCGAGCGGCCGACGUCUGAUUAGCUAGUUGGUGGGGUAAAGGCCCACCAAGGCGACGAUCAGUAGCGGGUCUGAGAGGAUGAUCCGCCACACUGGGACUGAGACACGGCCCAGACUCCUACGGGAGGCAGCAGUGGGGAAUUUUGGACAAUGGGGGCAACCCUGAUCCAGCCAUUCCGCGUGAGUGAAGAAGGCCUUCGGGUUGUAAAGCUCUUUCAGCUGGAACGAAACGGUACGCCCUAAUACGGAGUGCUAAUGACGGUACCAGCAGAAGAAGCACCGGCUAACUACGUGCCAGCAGCCGCGGUAAUACGUAGGGUGCGAGCGUUAAUCGGAAUUACUGGGCGUAAAGCGUGCGCAGGCGGAUUGUUAAGCAAGAUGUGAAAUCCCCGGGCUUAACCUGGGAAUGGCAUUUUGAACUGGCAGUCUAGAGUGUGUCAGAGGGGGGUGGAAUUCCACGUGUAGCAGUGAAAUGCGUAGAGAUGUGGAGGAACACCAAUGGCGAAGGCAGCCCCCUGGGAUAACACUGACGCUCAUGUACGAAAGCGUGGGUAGCAAACAGGAUUAGAUACCCUAGUAGUCC